rnacentral:rRNA from 1 species
ACGGGAGGCAGCAGCUAAGAAUAUUCCGCAAUGGACGAAAGUCUGACGGAGCGACGCCGCGUGGAUGAUGAAGGUCGGAAGAUUGUAAAAUCCUUUUAAGCAUGAAGAAUAAUCAGGACAGGUAAUGGUCUUGAGGUGACGGUAGUGCUUGAAUAAGCAACGGCUAAUUACGUGCCAGCAGCCGCGGUAAUACGUAAGUUGCGAGCGUUGUUCGGAAUCAUUGGGCGUAAAGGGCAUGUAGGCGGCCGCGCAAGUCUGGAGUGAAAUCCCCGGGCUCAACCCGGGAACUGCUUUGGAAACUGCGUGGCUUGAGUCGCCGAGGCGGAGCCGGAAUUCCAGGUGUAGGGGUGAAAUCUGUAGAUAUCUGGAAGAACACCGGUGGCGAAGGCAGGCUUCGAGCGGACGACUGACGCUGAGGUGCGAAGGUGCGGGGAGCGAACAGGAUUAGAUACCCUGGUA